AUUGAACGCUGGCGGCAUGCUUUACACAUGCCAGUCGAACGGUAACAGGCCUUCGGGUGCUGACGAGUGGCGAACGGGUGAGUAAUGCAUCGGAACGUACCCAGAGGUGGGGGAUAACGCAGCGAAAGCUGUGCUAAUACCGCAUGUGAUCUGAGGAUGAAAGCGGGGGACCGAGCAGCAAUGUUUGGCCUCGCGCCUUUGGAGCGGCCGAUGUCGGAUUAGCUAGUUGGUGGGGUAAAGGCCUACCAAGGCGACGAUCCGUAGCUGGUCUGAGAGGACGACCAGCCACACUGGGACUGAGACACGGCCCAGACUCCUACGGGAGGCAGCAGCGGGGAAUUUUGGACAAUGGGCGCAAGCCUGAUCCAGCAAUGCCGCGUGCGGGAAGAAGGCCUUCGGGUUGUAAACCGCUUUUGGCAGGAACGAAACGGUGUCCGCUAAUACCGGGCGCUAAUGACGGUACCUGCAGAAUAAGCACCGGCUAACUACGUG
rnacentral:rRNA from 1 species